CGCUCGUCCCCGCCGCGGCCGCGCCGCCUGCAGCAGCACCAGCUGCUCCUCCCCGGCGGCCGCCCCCAGCGGGUCCCUCCCUGGCUGCGGGAGAGACGGAGUAGAGGGAGGACACGGACCCGCGCUGCCCGCACCGGAGACCUUCGCCUGGCCCCGCCAGUUCCUCACCCUCGGGGAGCAACAUGGCAGAUAAUCUCAGUGAUACCUUAAAGAAGCUGAAGAUAACAGCUGUUGACAGGACUGAGGAUAGUUUAGAAGGAUGCUUGGAUUGUCUGCUUCAAGCCCUGGCUCAAAAUAGUAAGUUUCAUUAUGUUUACUCAAAUUCCAAACGAGAAAAUCAAAUUCAGUAGUCAUUCAGAAACUGGCGUGUAGUUAAGCACAUAACUUUGUAUUCAUAUAACUUGAAUUCUUUUGAAUCAUAUCCCUGAAUACUGAGAUUGUUUUACAUGUUCCAUCCUCCUACCCACCCUCCACGCCCCCCCAGGAUCCUCAAAGCCAAAUUGAUAGGCAAAGAAAGGAGGAAUUGAUGGGUGGUGAUGACAUUAAUACCAGUCCCAGAGAGAGGCCGUUGUUUGUUCCUAACAGUAAAGCAUCAUAGUUGUUUUUCUUAACACCUACAUUUGUGCUUUAAAAAUAGACUGUUUUAUAUGUAGGGACAGUGGGGAAGGAGAGAGAAGAGAAACAGAGGGGAGCUUAAAACAUUUAACAUUUUUUGAGAUAUUAUCAUAUUUUAAAAUAAUUGUACUUUAAAAUAAUAUGUAUGCAUAGAUUUGGAAAGAACCAUUAGUAGUCAUCAAAAGUCUUUUGAAGUUGAGAUAAGAUUUUAUCUUUAAUGUGGUAAAUAAUGCUAGAGAUAGAAACUGCACAAUUCUUCUUUGACACAUUGUAUUGCAUUUUAUUUAUCUUAUUUCUAUUCACUAAUUUCUGUAUUAUCACCAUUAAUAGAUCGGUAUAGAGUGAUUUUCAUUUGUUAUCUUAAUUGUGCUUGGUUGUGCUAUGGUUUGUUCUGUACUUGUUUUUAAUUAUGCUGUUGUCCUAUCCUGAGACUAAUUAUGCAGCUAACAAAGAAUUGAGAGGCAAGUGUAUAUUGUUACGGUUUUAAUUGUAGUGUUUCAACACUUGUUGAUAUAUGUGUUUUUUAAUUUUUAGUAAAUCUUGACUAGAAAAAUCUAAAAUGAUUGCAGUGCUCUUCAUCAAAAAAGUGCAUUUUAGAGCUAGCUUUUAAAAUUCUUUUUCAGUAAUUAUUUUGAGAUUAUAACUCUGUCAAGCUGUUUAAUCUUGGAGAUAACAGAGAAGGGAUUUGAAACAAGGAGUUUAACCAGAGCAUCUGGAUAAGGCUCAAAAUGGAAAAGAAAAAAGACAGGGAAGGAGAGUGUCAAAGACUGCUAUCCGUUUUAAUAGACACAUGUGGCUAUUUAGAUUUAAUACAAAUAAGUAAAAUUGAAAAGUAAGUUCCUUAGUCUCACUUCUCAGUAGCUAUAUUUGGCAGAUGACCACCCUCUUGGGGAUCACAGAUAUAAAAUAUUCCCAUGAUCAUAGAAAAUUCUUAUGGAUAGCACUGAUCUAGAAAUUAGAAAGAACCACACAAUGACCUGAUUUUUUUUGUUUACAUGUGCCACAAUGGGCAGCUUUCCACAGUAACAUAAUUAGCCUAAGUAAAUUAAGUAUCUCAGGUAUGUUUUUUUGAACAGCUGUUUUAUGAUAACCUUUGUCUGUUUUCAGUGACCCUUUUUUUUCUCUGUUAGAAAACAGUAAACUUUGAAAUAGACCAUUUGUUUUAGAAACUGAAGAACAUGUGAAGGGUCAUAUUCUUGGUCAUCUGUAGAAGGUUGCCCAUUGUCUCCUAGAAAGACUGGAAGACACAGAUGAAGUUGAAGGGAAAUGAAGAAGAAAGGGAGCAAAAGUUUAUACCUUUUUAAAGAAAAGAUUCAAAAAAUAUUGACAAGUUUAUAAUUAGUGGAUUACAUUUCAGCCCCAUUGUGAGCUUAUUCAGUAUACCUUUUGUUGAAAAUGGUCUUGAAAUUGUAUAUCACAAAAUGUUAAGACCAUGUAACCACAAGUUGUUGAAACAAUAAACUCUCACAAAUUUAACUAGUGACAACCCAGGAAGGGAACGAACAAAAGGAAUGUCUUGUUAAUCAAACAAAAUUUAUAAAUGUUCUCAUGCCUAAGACUGCUAACAAAAAAGAAUUUGACAUUAGAAGAAGGAGUUCAUGCAGAUAUCCAGUCUUUGAUUUAGGAAUUAUAUCUGUCAUUGGAUUUCUUACUGUAUGUUUAAUACUGGGCUGGGGAUUAUAGCCACUGUCUAGUCUUUCCUCCAGCCCUAUGAGAUAGGUGUUAUUAUCACCAUUUAAAGGAUGAGGUAACAGAUUAAUAAGCUUACUUGCCUUGCUCUGGAAGAAGCCAGAGUUUGGAUUUGAAUUCUUGGUUUACAAAAUAAAAAAUUAUAAUCUGAGUAAAGUGAAGCUUUUUGUUGAGUUUAUGUAAUGUGAAACUGUUCCAAGAAGCUAGAUUUUAAUAUUUUCUUAAAUGUUUGCUUUUUAAAAAAAAAAAAAAGCUUCCAAAUUUUUAUUAAAGUAGAUAAGCCUGUUUUACUUGAACUAUAAAGUGAUAUAUGUAUUUCAUAAACAUUUAUUGAUAUACUUUAUAAAGUGAGAAUUUGGCUUUUUAACAAGAAAAAGUAAAAUAUAUUAGUAAGAUGUUAAUUUUCUAUAAUUCUUCCUUGAAUAAGGUGAUUGGACCAUUGCUACUUCUGUCCUCCUAAAUGUAAAAUUAUAAAACAUUUAACUUAGAAGAAUCUGUACUUGCUUUUAUAAAAACAAAAAAAACCAGAGAGCUUCAAGUUUCAUAAUUC